GGGGAUGACAGGCUUCGACGGAGAAGGCUGAUCCCGGGUGGCAAGCCGAGGUGCUCCGCCCUCGUUAAUCCGGAGCAAACAGAAGUGCGAACCGCACCUAUGCGGCUCUUCCGCUGGCUGCGUAAGUAGCCGGUGGAAUCCCUGACCGCGUGCGCGCGGCCACGUCCGCCCCAACGCGUCCCCGGCGCGCUGGGAUCGCGGGCGUCAGCUAAACCGGGGUGCCGCGCCGUGAACGCCGGUACAUGGCGCCCAAGGGCCGAAGAGGCCACCGGCUGGCAGGUGUAAGGUCUGUCGGUUGAACCUGAGCCUGCGAGAGCCAAUCAACCGACUAAGCUUGUAGUCACCCUGGAUCGAAUUCUUCGGACGCGGGUUCAAUUCCCGCCAUCUCCACCU
rnacentral:tmRNA from 1 species